CCUACGGGAGGCAGCAGUGGGGAAUAUUGGACAAUGGGGGCAACCCUGAUCCAGCAAUGCCGCGUGAGUGAUGAAGGCCUUAGGGUUGUAAAGCUCUUUUACCAGGGAUGAUAAUGACAGUACCUGGAGAAUAAGCUCCGGCUAACUCCGUGCCAGCAGCCGCGGUAAUACGGAGGGAGCUAGCGUUGUUCGGAAUUACUGGGCGUAAAGCGCACGUAGGCGGUUACUCAAGUCAGAGGUGAAAGCCCGGGGCUCAACCCCGGAACUGCCUUUGAAACUAGGUAACUAGAAUCCUGGAGAGGUGAGUGGAAUUCCGAGUGUAGAGGUGAAAUUCGUAGAUAUUCGGAAGAACACCAGUGGCGAAGGCGGCUCACUGGACAGGUAUUGACGCUGAGGUGCGAAAGCGUGGGGAGCAAACAGGAUUAGGAUACCCUGGUAGUCCACGCCGUAAACGAUGAUAACUAGCUGUCCGGGCACAUGGUGUUUGGGUGACGCAGCUAACGCAUUAAGUUAUCCGCCUGGGGAGUACGGUCGCAAGAUUAAAACUUAAGGAAUUGACGG
rnacentral:rRNA from 1 species